rnacentral:snoRNA from 1 species
GCUGCUGCUGCUGCUGCUGCGGCUGCGGCUGCUGUUGCUGCUCCUGCAGCAGCAGCAGCAGCAAAGGCUGCUGUUGCAGCAAGUAGUGCAGAUGCAGCAGCACUAU